rnacentral:lncRNA from 1 species
GGCGCCGGGGCGAGCCUGGGCCGCGGCCCCCUCUUCCCGCCAGCCAGCCCACCCCGCCCCGGCGGCCUCUGGGAAAACGCGUCCCGGGCGAGCCCCUGAGGGCAGGAUCGGAGUCGGGGGCACCUGGGGAAGGAGAGCGCCCCGUGGGGCCUCGGCCGGUGGCCUGUGCCAAAAGGCCGGGCAGAGCUGCUUCGGUGUCUGGGUGAAGUUUCCAGCCAACCCAAGAAGGAAACCGAAAGGGAAGAGGCCGAGAGAGAGCCGCCUUCUCUCUAGCUACUGAGGGGAAAAGUCAGGAUGAAGCGGGUCCCUCGGCCUCCAGAAGGUGUUUUAUUACAGUCGCAAACAGGUAGAGCGGCAGCCACCCCAGUGAUGACUCCCUGCUCCUUAGAUUGUAGGGACGCUGGCACCUCACUCAUGCUCCUAAGUGGCCAUUUUGCGCCCUGGCUGGGCGAGUUAGGC